rnacentral:rRNA from 1 species
UACGUAGGGGGCAAGCGUUGUCCGGAAUCAUUGGGCGUAAAGCGCGUGUAGGCGGCUUGGUAAGUCCGCUCUGAAAGCCCGGGGCUCAACCCCGGGGAGGCGGGUGGAUACUGUCAAGCUCGAGUCCGGAAGGAGGCGAGUGGAAUUCCUGGUGGUAGCGGUGAAAUGCGGCAGAGUAUCAAGGAGGAACACCAAUGGCGA